GACGAACGCUGGCGGCGUGCUUAACACAUGCAAGUCGAACGAAGUGGCGAACGGGUGAGUAACGCGUAAUCAACCUGCCCUUCAGAGGGGGACAACAGUGGGAAACGACUGCUAAUACCGCAUAAUGAAGGAGGGGAUUGCGUGUGAUUAGCUAGUUGGGGGGGUAACGGCCCACCAAGGCGAUGAUCAGUAGCCUGUCUUGUGGGGUUAACGGCCAAAAUGGGACUGGGACACGGCCCAGACUUCUACGGGAGGCAGCAGUUGGGAAUCUUCCGCAAUGGACGAAAGUCUGACGGAGCAACGCCGCGUGAGUGAUGACGGCCUUCGGGUUGUAAAACUCUGUUAAUCGGGACGCGGUACCGGAAUAGAAAGCCACGGCUAACUACGUGCCAGCCGCCGCGGUAAUAC
rnacentral:rRNA from 1 species